CCUUGUGACCUGCUCACUGGAAAGGAAGAAAUGACCGAGGGAGAAGGGAGGGCAUUUGAGAUAAUUUUUCAGCCACUUCUCUUCAGGCCAAAGGGAGGAGAAAGCUGCCUUGGUCUUGUCAGGUAUUUUUCCCUCUCCACCCUGGUCUUCUCCUGUAACGUGUGGCCGCCUUUUCCAGCACGGCCUCCUGCCUUCCUGGUGCACUUUUUGGAGAACGUGGUGGAAUCAGAGGUUUCUGGCUGACUCGGUGGGUGCUUUGAACCAGGAAAGGACAAGAAAGAGGAUGGGAAGGACUGAUCCACAUUCCCACCAGGAAGUUUAGCAGAACCCCCGCGUGCCACCUGGACCCCUUGGAAGGACCUGGCUCAGGCUGGACCACCUCUUGAGAGGCAGGAGCUCUGGAUUUGAUCAAGAAUUCUUUGCUGAGCAUGGUGCCUCAUGCCUAUAAUCCCAACACUUUGGGAGGCCAGUGUGGGAGGAUCUCUUGAGCCCAGGAGUUCAAGACUAGCCUGGGCAACACAGAGAGACCCCAUCUCUAAAAUAAUAAUAAUAAUAAAAUAAAAAAUUAGCAGGGCAUGGUGGCAUGUGCCUGUAGUCCCAGCUACCCAGGAGGCUGAGGCAAGAGGAUGGCUGGAGCCUGGGAUGUUGAGGCUGCAAUGAACUGUGAUUACCCCACUGCACUCCAGCCUGGGCAAAAGAGCGAGAGACCCUGUCUCAAAUAAUAAUAAUAAUAAUAAUCUUAUUUUGGAGAAUAAAGAGACCUCUGGAUUUGAGGUGCCAUUUGGGUAGAAAGAAAAGACGUUUACACCGAGAAAUAGUCUGUGUUGCCCUGAAGGAGCAGAGGGAUGCAUCGCUGGAGGUGACCUACAGUUGAAGAAGACUCAUUAUGACAGACCUUGUCCUUCUUCCUUGUGGAAAGUGUUUCCUCUGCUGCUACUGCUCAUGAGACUCUUCCCCCUCCCUGUCCCAGGGAACCAAAGGGCUUUCUACCACACCCUUUCUUGCCCCCCGCCUCCCAUGUCUGCUGUGCCUUUGUACUCAGCAAUUCUUGUUUGCUCCAUUAUCUUCCAGCCGGAUACAGAGUGAAUAGUUAACCACACUUAGGUCAAAUAGGAUCUAAAUUUUUGUUCCUGCUCCGUGUAAAGAGGCCAGUGUUUGUGUGUUGCAAGCAGCCUUGGAAUAGUAACUCUUCUCAUUUGUUUGGGAUCUGGCCACCAAGUUCCAGAAUGAUACACGGAUCAGUGCAGAAGUUCAUCAGGCUCUCGGACCUUAGGGCUGUUGGAGAAGGCUUCAGCAGCAGAACUGAUGGUGAAGGCUCGUGUUCUCCAUCCUCAACUUUCUUUGCUUCGAUCAUACACAAGAAUACAUUUGGAAGGGCAAAAAAUGAACACUGUCGUUCAUUGCAGCCGUGUUUUGUGACACAGAUGCACAGUCUGCUGUGAAGACCUUCUCUCAAGUGGCAUUUGGGAGUCCAUGCCAGAUCAUGGUGCUUCAUGAGAGACUGACAGCUAUCAGGGGUUGUGGCACUUAGUGAGGACUCUCCUCCCCCAGUGUGUGCUGAUGACACAUACACACCUGACAAUAGCUUGAGUCUUCUCUGUUCCUUUUACUCUGUAGCCAACAUACACAUGAUUUAAAACCCUUUCUAAAUAUCUAUCAUGGUUCAUCCUUGUCCAAAUGCAGAGUCAGAGCUAUUUGUACUUCAUUAUUAUUUCCAAGGCGAAUAGUUGGCUUUCUUUUUGCAAAAAUAAUUAAAGUUUUUGUAUGUUGCA
ensembl:lncRNA LINC00511 long intergenic non-protein coding RNA 511